AUUUUUGAAGAGCCGCGGUAUUUUGACCGUGCAAAGGUAGCAUAAUCAUUAGUUUCUUAAUUGGAUGCUGGAAUGAAUGGUUUGACGAGAAAUUAACUGUCUCUUGAUAAUUUGUGGAAUUUAACUUUUAAGUUAAAAGGCUUAAAUAUAUCUUUAGGACGAGAAGACCCUAUAGAGCUUAAUAUUUAUAUUUUUGUAGUUUUUUUGAUUAUCUUUCUAGAUUAAAUUUUAAUUUUUAGUUGGGGUGACAUGAAGAAUAGUUAAGCUCUUCAUUAUUAAAUCAUUAAUUUAUGUUUAUUUGAUCCAUAAUUUAUGAUCAUAAGAUUAAGUUACCUUAGGGAUAACAGCGUAAUCAUUUUUGAGAGUUCAUAUCAAUAAAAUGGAUUGCGACCUCGAUGUUGGAUUAAGAGAAAUAUUUGGUGUAGAAGCUAAAUAAUUAGGUCUGUUCGACCUUUAAAUUCUUACG
rnacentral:rRNA from 1 species